UUCCCUUUCGCCACCGACAUCGGCGACAAUCAUCCCCCUACCGACCCCUAUCGGGCCACACACACACACUUCGAUCAUUCUCCCCCGUCACCAACAUCGGCGACCAUUAACCACCUCUCGACCCAUAAUAGGCCACACACACACACCCACUCAUCAUUCUCUCCCGUCGCCAACAUCAGCGACCAUUGGCUACCUCUCGACCUCUACCAGGCCACGCAUACACACUGAUCAUUCUCUCCCGUCACCAACAUCUGCGACCAUUAACCACCUCUCGACCCCUAACAGGCCACACACACACACACUCAUCAUUCUCUCCCAUCGCCAACAUCGGCGACCAUUGGCUAUAUCUCGACCUCUACCAGGCCACGCACGCACACCAUUUUAAUUCACGUUCGUCACCAACCUCGGCGACCAUCGUCCACCUACCGACCCCUAUCGGGCCACACACACACACUCUGAUCAUUCUAUCCCGUUACCAACAUCGGUUUUCACUCGCUUCAUCUCCUGAUCUCUCUCUCUCGGGCUUCAUCCUCACCGCCACUACCUCUUUCUCUCUCCUCCCCCGCGU
rnacentral:lncRNA from 1 species